rnacentral:rRNA from 1 species
AUGUUCGAUAGCUGUUGGGUUCGUGUGGCCAACGCAUUGCUGACAACUGAACGUGCGAGCGCCGCGUGUUGGGUCCCUCGUGCGAGGCGUCGCCCAUGUGUUGGUGGCAAACCCUUCCUCAAUCACAACAGCCGCCAGAGCCGCCGCGCCUCUCCUUCCUCCUCGCCACCCCCUCCCGCGGCGCGCAUCCCUCGGAUCAUCGUGCCCAACUCCCCUUCGUGUUUCUCCUCCUCCCAGAACCACAUCCCAUCGCUUAGGCUCCUUGGUGGCGGCCGGCUCAAGGCGAGCCUGGCGCAGGCGGGGAGAAGCAGCGGGGCGGCGGAUGUGGGUGGGAGAGUGCCGAACGGCGCCGUCAUUAUCGCCCCGCCAAGACGCAUCGAAGAAGGACCAGGAUCUCACCCUCGUCCCUUCUUGAUGCACCUCCCCAGUGAGUUCCUCCUGCCUAAUUCAGCUCCCCUUUCCAUCUAA